UCCGGUUUGGCACCGGCAGUCUCCAAUGAGUCCCCGGCAUUACCCGCUGGCAACAUUGGACAGGGGUUGCGCUCGUUGCGCCACUUAAGGCAACACCUCACGGCACGAGCUGACGACAGCCAUGCACCACCUGUGAUGGUGUCCCGAAGGAAGGGUGUGUUUCCACACCUGUCACGAACAUGUCAAGCCCAGGUAAGGUUCUUCGCGUUGCGUCGAAUUAAACCACAUGCUCCGCUGCUUGUGCGGGCCCCCGUCAAUUCCUUUGGGUUUUAAUCUUGCGACCGUACUCCCCAGGCGGAAUGCUUAAAGCGUUAGCUGCGCCACUGACGAGCAAGCUCGCCAACGGCUAGCAUUCAUCGUUUACGGCGUGGACUAC
rnacentral:misc_RNA from 1 species